rnacentral:rRNA from 1 species
AGCCCAGAGCCUGAAUCAGUGUGUGUGUUAGUGGAAGCGUCUGGAAAGGCGCGCGAUACAGGGUGACAGCCCCGUACACAAAAAUGCACAUGCUGUGAGCUCGAUGAGUAGGGCGGGACACGUGGUAUCCUGUCUGAAUAUGGGGGGACCAUCCUCCAAGGCUAAAUACUCCUGACUGACCGAUAGUGAACCAGUACCGUGAGGGAAAGGCGAAAAGAACCCCGGCGAGGGGAGUGAAAAAGAACCUGAAACCGUGUACGUACAAGCAGUGGGAGCACAGAGCAAUCUGUGUGACUGCGUACCUUUUGUAUAAUGGGUCAGCGACUUAUAUUCUGUAGCAAGGUUAACCGAAUAGGGGAGCCGAAGGGAAACCGAGUCUUAACUGGGCGUUAAGUUGCAGGGUAUAGACCCGAAACCCGGUGAUCUAGCCAUGGGCAGGUUGAAGGUUGGGUAACACUAACUGGAGGACCGAACCGACUAAUGUUGAAAAAUUAGCGGAUGACUUGUGGCUGGGGGUGAAAGGCCAAUCAAACCGGGAGAUAGCUGGUUCUCCCCGAAAGCUAUUUAGGUAGCGCCUCGUGAAUUCAUCUCCGGGGGUAGAGCACUGUUUCGGCAAGGGGGUCAUCCCGACUUACCAACCCGAUGCAAACUGCGAAUACCGGAGAAUGUUAUCACGGGAGACACACGGCGGGUGCUAACGUCCGUCGUGAAGAGGGAAACAACCCAGACCGCCAGCUAAGGUCCCAAAGUCAUGGUUAAGUGGGAAACGAUGUGGGAAGGCCCAGACAGCCAGGAUGUUGGCUUAGAAGCAGCCAUCAUUUAAAGAAAGCGUAAUAGCUCACUGGUCGAGUCGGCCUGCGCGGAAGAUGUAACGGGGCUAAACCAUGCACCGAAGCUGCGGCAGCGACACUGUGUGUUGUUGGGUAGGGGAGCGUUCUGUAAGCCUGUGAAGGUGUGCUGUGAGGCAUGCUGGAGGUAUCAGAAGUGCGAAUGCUGACAUAAGUAACGAUAAAGCGGGUGAAAAGCCCGCUCGCCGGAAGACCAAGGGUUCCUGUCCAACGUUAAUCGGGGCAGGGUGAGUCGACCCCUAAGGCGAGGCCGAAAGGCGUAGUCGAUGGGAAACAGGUUAAUAUUCCUGUACUUGGUGUUACUGCGAAGGGGGGACGGAGAAGGCUAUGUUGGCCGGGCGACGGUUGUCCCGGUUUAAGCGUGUAGGCUGGUUUUCCAGGCAAAUCCGGAAAAUCAAGGCUGAGGCGUGAUGACGAGGCACUACGGUGCUGAAGCAACAAAUGCCCUGCUUCCAGGAAAAGCCUCUAAGCAUCAGGUAACAUCAAAUCGUACCCCAAACCGACACAGGUGGU